GGGCUGGCCGAGGACAGCCGCCGGAUUGGGCCCUCGCUGCUCGGCCGAGGUGCGCGGACACCGUGCGUCCCGCUGCAGCGUUCGCCUACUCGGAAUGAAGCUUGCCGCACUCGCUUGGGGGAAGCACGUUCUCGACGGCAGCUCUGUUCUGCGGGGUGCUCCCCGGGGGACGGGACAGCCACGGGGAGCGCUACUGCGGCCCCACGUCGGCUCCCGCAUGCCUUCGGCCCGCGGUGCCAGCUACGACCCUUGCGAGCUGCGAUGGGACGGGACGGGAAGGGACGGGACAGGAUGGAGCGGCAUUGUUUUCCACGCUGGGAAGCGCGCAGCGCAGCGCCCGCUGUGACGGGCUCUCUCACGGCCUCCUCUUCAAACCUGUGCUCCCCCCUCAACGUCAUCACCAGCCGAGCAGCUACGCAGAAGCUCUGGGGAAGCGUUUCCCCGCCCUGCCCUCGGGCACCGCCGCGCUGUACGGGAGCACAGCGUUUGUGCCGGUGGGGGGCGGCAGCGGGCCGAGAGCGCUGCAGUGGCUGUGGCUGAGCUCCGGGACCGGGUGGGGUCCGGGAGUGACCGCGAGGGACUCUGCCCAUCCCGGUGCGUGUGCGCGCCGCGUCGGCAGAGGAAAAGCAGCUCAGGGGCAUUUGCGAGACCGUCAGGAUCUCUCUCCACCUCGGAAGGUGCCUCUGGUCCGGCUCCGCAUCGCGCGUCGAGCGGCGGGGAUGGGGAUGGCAGGCGUGCAGGUGCAGGAGCCGCGGCCCCUUCCCUGUCCUCCUAUCCCGCCCCUAUUCCCAGGGGAUUUAUUAGCAGGGUUCGGGCGGGCUAACCAAACGGCAGCCCCGGGUGCGAAUUCCCCGGAAGAAUGCUUUGAUCGUGCCCUCUCUUCGCGCCGUCGGGAACGGAUUACAUCGCCAAACGCGGGAGCUCCCGCCGCUUGUUUGGUCAGAGAUGUUACCCGUUAAUCUGAAACAAAUUGCCGCUGCCCUGGGGGCCCGCAGUGCGCGGGUAUGGCCGGGUUUCCCUGCCUGCUGUUGGGAGAGUGCGCAAAUAUCUCGGGUGGUGAUAGUGGCAGGGAAAAAGUAAAAAUAAAUAAUAAAAAUAAAUACUAAAAAUAAGAAAAUAACUUUUUUUUUCCGUUAAAAAGCGAUUUGUUUUGCGGCUGUCUUCCAUUAAAACGUGGGUUUGUUUCUCGUGUCACUCUCUGUCAAUCUGUUGUAAGCUGUGCUUUCAGCAAGGUGAAUCUCGGUGAGAUUGUUGUCUGCAGCACAGAUCCUUCAGAAUGGUUUCUGUGUUAAAACGAUUUAAAUGAGCAAGUUUCAACUUUUUGUCCUCUUGUGUUUUAAAUAAGCAUGUUUUUGUGGGUUUUUUUUCUUUUUUUUUUUUUUUUUUUAAUACAUCUCCACUUUAUGUACUGGUAAGCACCUUUAUAGAAAGAGGAGGAAUUUUCUGUUAGCCUUGCACGACAAGUAAAUGUAAUAAAACCAUAUAAUAAAGAUGUAAGAAAUGUCGACAGCAAUGUGUUCUGUAUAGCAUGAUAUGGAAGAAAAUUUUAUUGACUGUGAGAGUGAUUCCACUGCCUUUGUAGGAAUGUUUACUUUGGCAAGGAGGGCAAGGGUUAGCCUUUAUGGGGAAGCUUGUGCAUCACAUUAGGACAAUCUCCAGCCGUGUAAAACCGGAUUGAAAUCAAAAGUGGUAAAGGUGACUGGAGUGCUUGCAAAACAGAAUUGCCACAGCAAGCAAGUGAGAGAACACCAAUCAGAAAUUUGGAGGAAUAGGCAGGAGGUCUCCCCCAGGCACAGCCAGUUUGGGGUGCACAGAACGCAACAGCUUCCCAACAGCAGCUUCUUUCACCCUGCAGCAGCCUUGGAGAAAUCAGCUCCUGGAGAUGAGCUGUGGAGACAGGGCAGGUUUGCCCUCCGUGGUGGGCCCUGCUGCAGCAGGGCUGUACCAGGAGCAUGCUCUGGCUGUGGCUCUAUGAACGAGAUUCAC
rnacentral:lncRNA from 1 species